UACGGAGGAUGCGAGCGUUAUCCGGAUUUAUUGGGUUUAAAGGGUGCGUAGGCUGUUAUAUAAGUCAGUGGUGAAAUAUUCGGGCUCAACCGGGAUACUGCCAUUGAUACUGUUGGUCUUGAGUGCAAAUGAGGUUGGCGGAAUGUGUAGUGUAGCGGUGAAAUGCUUAGAUAUUACACAGAACACCGAUAGCGAAGGCAGCUCACUAAACUACAACUGACGCUCAUGCACGAAAGCGUGGGGAUCAAACAGG
rnacentral:rRNA from 1 species